GGCGUCCUCCGGUUACAGCUCGUCAACGUCGCUUACGGAGGAAAGUCCAGCGCGUGUCAUGAGUUCACCAGCUUUACAGCCGUUCCAAGCGUUAUCAAACCAAAAGCUGUCCGUACAGGCCAAGAAAAUGGUGCACAACGUUUACGCACAAGUAAGAAAAAGUGACCCGCAGCUGUCUGUGAGAGCCGCAUGUCGGAAGGUCAGCGAGCUGACUGGUGUUAGCGAACGCAGUGUCUUCCGUAUUAAGCUCGACGUAAAUAGUGGCACCCUGAAGUCACCGAAGCUCAAGCGCCUGCGUCUCCCAGCCAUGAAUGCCCGUGCGAAAACCGGGAGGACAAGACUGGAACUUCACGACAGCUUCUCCCUCGCGGCUCUACGAAGAAAAGUGCAUCAGUUUUUUCUGAGAAAUGAAAUUCCGACAGCUGCAAAACUCGUUCAUGAUGUGACCAGUGACAGUGACAUGAACAUGCCUAAAAUGAGCGUGCGAACGAUGCAAAGGCUGCUUAAUGACAUCGGUUUUUCCUUUCGCAAGCGGAAGAGACAUUGUGCGCUCUUGGAGAGGAACGACGUCGUCAUGUGGCGACGGCAGUACCUGCGUACCAUCCGACAACAUCGCGCUCAAAAACGGACAAAGUAUGGGAAGACGCGAACGUCACGACACGGGAGGAUGCCUUUCGGCAAGGCCUGACCACAGGGCUUCGCGCACCAAGCGGCAGAGGUGGCAGGCUCAUCCUCUUGCACGCCGGUAGUGAGGACGGGUUCUUGAAUGCAGCGUGCCUUCUUUUCCGAGCUACAAAACGAACUGGUGACUACCACGCCGAAAUGGACGGGCCGCGCUUUGAGAUGUGGUUCACUGAACAGCUUUUGCCAAAUAUCAAACCGCACAGUGUCAUAGUGAUGGAUAAUGCACCAUAUCACAGCGUUCGCCUCGAGAAAGUUCCAACGUCAUCAACACGAAAGGCUGACAUCCAGUCUUGGCUGACACAGAAGAAUAUCGCGUUUUUCCAAGACCAAUUAAAAGCAGAGCUGUUGGAUUUGGUGAACGACCACAAGAAGAUGUUUUCCGCCUAUCGCGUGGAUGUUUUGGGGAAGGCUGUCGGUCACGACUUCGUGAGGCUUCCUCCCUAUCAUUGCGAAUUUAAUCCUAUUGAAAUGAUAUGGAGCCAGGUGAAAGGCUACGUCGCUGCUAAUAAUACAUCAUUCACUCUUGCCGGCGUUGAAAAACUGGUACCCGAAAGCAUCGCUCUCGUAACGCCUGACAAUUGGCUCCGGGCGUGUAAUCAUGU
rnacentral:lncRNA from 1 species